CCCCGCGGAAGGCCCCCUCAUCACUCUGUUAGGCUGUUAGCCACACUUGGGAAAGGAAGCAUGGCGUGCGAGCUGCGAGCUGUGUUGCUGUGGGGCCGCGGGCUGCAGACUGUACUGCGGGCCCCCGCGCUGGCUGGAGUUCGGCGAGGAAAGCCAGUUCUGCACCUUCAGAAGACUACAGUCCAGUUUAGGGGCCCCACACAAAGUCUGGCUUCAGGGAUCUCUGCAGGACAGUUAUACAGCACACAGGCAGCCGAGGACAAGGAGGAGGAGAGCCUGCACUCCAUCAUCAGCAACACUGAGGCAGUGCGGGGUUCUGUCUCCAAACAUGAGUUCCAGGCAGAGACAAAGAAACUUUUGGACAUCGUAGCCCGUUCUCUGUACUCAGAAAAAGAGGUGUUCAUACGAGAGCUCAUCUCCAAUGCCAGUGAUGCCUUGGAGAAACUGCGGCACAAGCUGGUGUGUGAAGGCCAGGUGCUGCCAGAAAUGGAGAUUCACCUUCAGACGGAUGCCAAGAAGGGCACUAUUACCAUUCAGGACACUGGCAUUGGGAUGACACAGGAGGAGCUGGUGUCCAACCUUGGCACAAUUGCCAGAUCGGGGUCAAAGGCCUUCCUGGAAGCACUGCAGAACCAGGCAGAGACCAGCAGCAAGAUCAUUGGUCAGUUUGGAGUGGGUUUCUAUUCAGCCUUCAUGGUAGCUGACAAGGUUGAAGUCUAUUCUCGAUCAGCAGCUCCAGAGAGCCCAGGUUACCAGUGGCUUUCAGAUGGUUCUGGAGUGUUUGAAAUUGCCGAAGCUUCAGGAGUUAGACCUGGGACCAAAAUAAUCAUCCACCUCAAGUCAGACUGUAAAGAUUUUGCCAGCGAGUCCCGGGUACAAGAUGUGGUAACAAAGUACAGUAACUUUGUCAGCUUCCCCUUGUACCUUAAUGGAAAGCGGAUUAACACUUUGCAGGCCAUCUGGAUGAUGGACCCAAAGGACAUCAGUGAAUUUCAGCAUGAGGAAUUCUACCGUUAUAUUGCUCAGGCUUAUGAUAAGCCCCGCUUCACUUUGCACUACAAGACGGACGCACCACUCAACAUCCGCAGCAUCUUCUAUGUGCCAGAGAUGAAACCAUCCAUGUUUGAUGUGAGCAGGGAGCUGGGCUCCAGCGUGGCACUGUAUAGCCGCAAGGUCCUCAUCCAGACCAAGGCUGCAGACAUCCUGCCCAAGUGGCUGCGCUUCAUUCGAGGUACUGCUGCUGACACCCAGGCUCUGCACUGUGGACGGUGACCCAGGAUUCCAAGUGGCAUGGCCAUGUGUCCUCAUGCUGCCCACUGCAUUUGCUUCCGCUGUGUCCUAGACCCUCCUCACCCAGCAGGACAGGUGUGGUGGAUAGUGAGGACAUUCCCCUGAACCUCAGCAGAGAGCUCCUGCAGGAGAGUGCGCUCAUCCGGAAACUCCGGGAUGUUCUACAACAGAGAUUGAUCAAGUUCUUCAUUGACCAGAGUAAAAAAGAUGCUGAAAAAUACGCAAAGUUUUUUGAAGAUUAUGGCUUGUUCAUGAGGGAGGGCAUUGUGACCACUGCAGAGCAAGACAUCAAGGAGGAUAUUGCAAAACUGCUACGGUAUGAGUCCUCAGCCCUGCCUGCUGGGCAGCUGACCAGCUUACCAGACUAUGCCAGCCGAAUGCAGGCUGGCACCCGCAACAUCUAUUACCUGUGUGCCCCUAACCGUCACCUGGCUGAACAUUCACCCUAUUACGAAGCCAUGAAGCAGAAACAUACUGAGGUGCUCUUCUGCUAUGAGCAGUUCGAUGAGCUUACUCUGCUGCACCUGAGGGAGUUUGACAAGAAGAAGCUCAUCUCUGUGGAAACAGACAUCGUCGUUGAUCACUACAAGGAGGAAAAGUUUGAGGACACAUCUCCAGCUGAUGAGCGCCUCUCGGAGAAGGAAACAGAAGAUCUAAUGGCGUGGAUGAGAAAUGCACUAGGGUCCCGUGUCACCAAUGUGAAGGUGACUUUCCGCCUAGACACCCACCCUGCCAUGGUGACCGUGCUGGAGAUGGGGGCUGCUCGGCAUUUCUUGCGUAUGCAGCAGCUGGCCAAGACCCAGGAGGAACGUGCCCAACUGCUACAGCCCACACUGGAGAUCAACCCCAGGCACACACUGAUAAAGAAGCUCUGCCAGCUGAGGGAGAGCGAGCCGGAGCUGGCCCAGCUGCUCGUGGAUCAGAUCUAUGAGAAUGCCAUGAUAGCAGCAGGACUCGUUGAUGACCCCCGGGCCAUGGUCGGCCGCCUGAACGACCUUUUGGUCAAGGUCCUGGAGAAACACUGACAGCCAAGACACUGGAUUUAGUGUCAACCCAGGUCUUCUCGGGUGAUAAUGGACCUGCCUGGGGAGGCAGGACUUAAUACACAAACAGUGCCACCAACUGCUUGAGCUCAGCUUUAUUUACUUCAAUUAAACAGUAUUUCUUAGUCCCCGUG